UGUGUGGUAGGUAUUUAUUUAUUCUGCAUACGGUACUAUAUAUACUGAGGUGUAUAACUAUGAAUACAGUCCGUGUGCUCUAGGCUUAAGCUUUACUUAAUCAAAUGUAGAGUGGUAUCACAUAGCUUUAAUGGAACAAAUUAGAGUGUUUAAUACACAUGAUAAAGCAGAUCAUACAUAGUAUAUAUGAACCGGUAUGGCCAGGGCUAAAGUUGGCCAUACAUAGGGAGAUCCGCUCAUUUUGUGAUGUCUCCAAACGAGUGGAUCUCUCCCCAAUAUCCCUGUCCUAGGGCCCAAUGAACAGAUCACAACUAGAAGAAAACGGGCAGUUGUAUCAAGGGCCACAUCAACAAACUGAUGUGGUCAGACGAUCCAACAAGAUUUUUACCCUACACUAUCGACAUCUGGUUGACUUUCAGCCAGAUAUUGAUAGGCGAAGCCCGUCAGAGGGCCAAUAAGCUGCCGUCUUCAUCCGUCGGCAUCUUAUAUCUGUCCAUGUAUGGGGGCCUUAAGGUGCGUCUGAUGCAAUCACAAGCUCUUUUUAUUAUGCUAAUUUUGCCUUUUGUUUACAGCAAAAGAAUUUCAAGAUAAUGCAAUCCAGGCGACACACAAUGGCAUGAACCCACAGGGGAAUCAACUACUUGUUCUGUAGCCAAGGGGAAGAACUGUGGGACGACUAUAUGGUCAUCACAAACGGAAUGGAGAGAAAAUACUGCUACUUCAGAAUGACAAAACCUAAGGGUACCGCAAACUGCACCCGAAACUCCAUUGUGACUCUGACUAAUGACACUUGUCUGCUCUUGGAAUCAACGGAUAUAAAGGAUGGCACUUUGACUUUGGAAUAUGGCAAAGGACACAAGGGGCAGUUUGCACACUCCUCACUCAUAGGGUUGUGCGAUGUCGGGAGAUAUGAACCUGAUGCCAGUGGGUUGGUUCGCACAUCACCAAUUGGAGUUGUUGGAGGCAUCUUGAUGGUAGUGUUAUACCUUAUACUUUGGAUAUAAGAAAUACAUUAAAAGGAACCAAUCACGAGGCUCCUCUAAGCGUGUGGAACGCUCUGAGAAUGAGAGAAAUGGACACGUACCCACUGAGGACAUUGAAAUGGGAGGCUAAGGAGAAGAAGAUGGAGAAGACAUGGCCCAGACAGUAGAAUUAUUAAAUUCUGAUGCUAAUUGCACUGGUUUCUGUGCUGCCAUGUAGUAAUUAUCUGUAUUAACUACUAAUCAGCCUUAUAUU